UGGGGAAUAUUGCACAAUGGGCGAAAGCCUGAUGCAGCAACGCCGCGUGAGUGAUGAAGGUCUUCGGAUUGUAAAGCUCUGUCUUUUGGGACGAUAAUGACGGUACCAAAGGAGGAAGCCACGGCUAACUACGUGCCAGCAGCCGCGGUAAUACGUAGGUGGCGAGCGUUGUCCGGAUUUACUGGGCGUAAAGGGUGCGUAGGCGGAUGUUUAAGUGAGAUGUGAAAUACCCGGGCUUAACUUGGGUGCUGCAUUUCAAACUGGAUAUCUAGAGUGCAGGAGAGGAGAAUGGAAUUCCUAGUGUAGCGGUGAAAUGCGUAGAGAUUAGGAAGAACACCAGUGGCGAAGGCGAUUCUCUGGACUGUAACUGACGCUGAGACA
rnacentral:rRNA from 1 species